AGUGUUAUGAUUUUUUUUUUUUUUUUUGAGAAAAAUAAGUGUUAUGAUUGUAGACUUGUGUUCGUAUCUAGGAUUCCAGAUUUAUGUGCCUGUUUAGUGUUCUGAUGUAGUUGGUUAUGGUCCAAAUCCUCACACGAAAGGACUGCAAUUUGAGUUAGGUACCCAAUGAGUUUGUUUCAAAGUAUAACCAUUUUGUAGAAGAAAAAAAUGUAUGUCAAAAGCAUAAUUUACGGAAUGAAAAAUAUUGGAACUGAGCAUUUUGCUCUUUAAUGUUUCUCUUUUGUGGUUUUCAUUUGAAAUUUUCUAUUUAAAGGAAGUAUGAUUAUGAUCAGCAUACAAUUGACUCAAUGAGCAAUCCAAGCCCAAUUUGUAACUAAAGGGUGUUGCUUCUCUAAAUUUGUUGCUGUUGUUGUUUUUACUACCAACAGGUUGCAGAAUACCUUGUUCCCUCUAUCAGAUCGGUCCCUAGCAGUCAGUCCAUGAAGCCAACCUACAUAAAAUUCUUAACAGGCCUUAAGGCGUACUCCCAGAUUUUUUCAAGAAUUGCUUUUGGUGCAAGGAGGAAUAGAUACGUUAUUGAAGAUUGAAUGGCUUAUUCGCUUUCGGGAUUAGGAAAGAACAACGUUCUUUCUGCAAUGAAGAGUGCGUUGUGGUUCAGCACAAGUUCCAUGAACUGUGUGGGUCCAAAUGCAAAAUCAACUCUAUUUUUAAUCCUCCUUUCUUUGUGAAACUCAUCUGCAGGUAUGGGAAAAGCUUUUGUGUCUGCAAAGGCUUUUUCAUUCUUCUCAUGUUAGGGCCGCACUGGUGAAAUCUUGGUGCAAAAUGGAAGCCUUCACUGCCUAUGAA